GACGAACGCUGGCGGCGUGCUUAACACAUGCAAGUCGAACGAUGAAGCGGUUCUUGCACCGUGGAUUAGUGGCGAACGGGUGAGUAAUACGUGAGUGACCUACCUUUGACUCUGGGAUAAGCCUGGGAAACUGGGUCUAAUACCGGAUACGACCAAUCUCUGCAUGGGUGGUUGGUGGAAAGCGUUAUGGAGUGGUUUUAGAUGGGCUCACGGCCUAUCAGCUUGUUGGUGAGGUAAUGGCGUACCAAGGCGACGACGGGUAGCCGGCCUGAGAGGGUGACCGGCCACACUGGGACUGAGACACGGCCCAGACUCCUACGGGAGGCAGCAGUGGGGAAUAUUGCACAAUGGGCGCAAGCCUGAUGCAGCGACGCCGCGUGAGGGAUGACGGCCUUCGGGUUGUAAACCUCUGUUAGCAUGGAAGAAGCGAAAGUGACGGUAGGUGCAGAGAAAGCGCCGGCUAACUACGUG
rnacentral:rRNA from 1 species